UCUUUUGACCCCAGCGAUUAAGUAGCAGCAGAACAUUAAGUGGAAGCAGAUAUUUGCAAGUGCAGAGGGACUGGGUGUGAUUGUGUGGGGACUGGAGACUUACCCGAAGAAUUGGCAACCUUCCCUGCAAGCUUCCCAGGAAGGAAGUUGCAAGUUGAAAUCUGCUACUGUGAUCCCACCAUCACCUAAGUGAUCCGCAUCGACUUUUUCCUGCAAGCUUCCCAAAUGAGUUGUGGGAAGAUGUUAGGGAACACCUAGAGUCACCCCAAACAGUGAGAUGAGUGGCAUAUAAAUUUAAUAAAUAAUGUUAUUGAGGAUCAUGACCACUGCAGCAUAGCGGUAAUAUUGAACAGCAACCUCACACUGAAACGACUUUUUCAACAAAGAACUGAAUGGCUCAUGGGCUGCUCUGGAGCACAGCUCCCCGAAUUGUCCUGCAGACUGCUGCUGCAUGGAGGAUCUUGUGGAUGAUUCUAGGACUUUCCCUAACCCCGGAGUGUCAUAUAA